rnacentral:rRNA from 1 species
AACUUUAGUGAUCUAUUGUUGAAUGCUCCAUUUCCCAAUGGAUCAUUGAAGUUAAGCAACGUUGAGCGUGGUUAGUAUCCGGAAGGGUGACCAUCUGGACAAUCGCAUGCUGCUGGGUUUU